GCCGUGUGCUGGGAGAGCGGGGAUGGGGAAUGGGAAAUGGUCCUCUGCUGGGAGAGCUGGGAUGGGGAAUGGCCAUGUGCUGAGGAAAACUGGAGUCGGGAAGAAUGGGGGAAUGGACGUGUCCAAGGGGCAGUAGGGGACUGGGAAGGAUGUGUAGAUUGGCCAUGGCCUGGGCAAGCUGGGGAUCGGGAAGGAUGUGGGUGAAUGGCCAAGGUGGAGAGGAGAGGAUGGUAGAGAAGUUGUGUGGGGAGUUGGGACGGGAAAGCCGAGGGUACAAAUGGGAAAAGACAUGGCAGGAGAAUUCAGAGCCAGGCUGAAAUGUGUGGUCGCACACAGAGUGCUGCUGAUCCAGGGCAGUAUUCCCUGUGGACAGGGUGUGACAGACCAGCCCUAGAAAUUGUUAAACUUUGGACCAAUUUGGUUCUUAUCUGCACUGUGUAGAAAUCAGCAGUUGGGUUCUGUGAGCUGCCAUUUGCAGAAUAAUAAUUUAAAAAAAAAUUCCUUGUGUCCAUGCCAUGUGGCUUAAUUUAACUCCCACCCUGUGGGAAAGGUUACGCUUUCCAGAGUUUUCCCAGCUCUGCAACACACUUCCCAUGAGGGGAGCUCCAUCAAAGUCAUGGGCAGGGCCAGAGAGGCUCAAGGGUGAGAAAAGGUCCCAGAAAAGCUACGAAGGUUGCCACAGUCAAGGUUGCUUUGGAAGUCUGAGCUCAUACAUCACACACCUACUCUUACUAACACCCUUACUAAUACUCUGCUCGUUUGGUCAUGUCACUGCUCUGGCUUCUUCCUGCUGAGGUAACCUGUGAAGUAUUAUCAUGUGGGUAGUCAGAGAUGAGGAUCCAGCUAUGGGUCAGGACUGCAGAAUGGGAUGAGAAGAUGACCUGUGCUUCACUGAGUUCAUUGCAUGGCUUCUACACAGCCCAGGAGGUUCUCUCUCUGCAGCUGCAUGGAGCUGAGCUGUAACCAUGCCUGGAGUGGCUCCCUCCUGACAGAGCUCAGAGCUUGGGACUUGCUAAUUCAAAACUGGGGGCUGCACAAAGAAGGGAUUUGAUUUCUUGAAUUUACCAAGACAAGAAGGAGAAGGUUUUGCUUUCACAGAUAGUUCUCAAAGGAUUUGGUGGCUCUGGACACUGUGAAAUGUGUGCAAACAUCUUUAACGAAGUAGUGUUCAUUUUCAGAAAAGGAUGGUUGUAGUUAAUUUUUUAGAGGUUUAAUCAUGGCACAUUCCUUCAGCAGUAAUAAGAGCUGGCUGGCAUUAUAUCACAUUCUUCCCCAGCUUCUGUAGUGAUAUCAAGAAAGCAAGAGAGCUCUGCCCCUAUUAUUAUGAUUUUGUGAGUCAAUUAAAAGGUUAAAA